GGGGAAAUUUUGCAGACCCCACCCCCAGCCUUUAAGAAGACCCCCGAAGGGGCUACAGAUCAGCUUUAGGGAGUUAUAAGAAGAUUCUGAUAAACAGAUGCACAAGACUUCUGCUUGCAUCUCCAGUGUAUCAUUCAAGAGGACUCCUCACAUAUGGAGGAUACACCAGCUUCAGAUGUGCCAUAAUUUUAAUAUCUCUAACCAGUGCAUGUAUGGAAAGACUUUACUAACUGUGCACUACCUUUCAGUUUCCCAUGAGGAAGAUUGCCAAAGUUUGAAACAAUCCCAUGAAGAAGAGUGCGAAAGCUUGAAACAUGGAAUCCUGAUAAAAUUAAAACUUGAGUUUCAAUAAA